GUAUUAUUCUUCUGUUGGACCCAUCUUUUUCUUUGUCAUUCAUUAACUAAUUGAAGAACACCAAAAAAGUUGGAUCAAGUUUUUCUCUGUCAAAUUCAUUAACUAAUUGAGGCAAGGACAUCCAUCAAGAUUUUGGGCAAAAUAGUUCAAUGAACUCAUUGAGCAACAUAAGAAAGGAUGAAUAUGGUGGGUGUUUGAGAAGAAUAAGGGAGCCAAAAGAUGUUUGUUGAAGAUGCAAAGCUGUGCUCGAGACAUUUAUGCAAUUCCUAAGAAUAAAAGAGCACACAAACUAAUGCAGAAAAUUUAAUCUUUGGGUAGAACAUUUAUGUUUGACAGAGGUUGGAAAUGGCAUGUUGGAGAAGGUCUGCAUGGGAAGAUACAACAUUCAUUUAAUUAGUG